CCUACGGGAGGCAGCAGUGGGGAAUCUUGGACAAUGGGCGCAAGCCUGAUCCAGCAAUGCCGCGUGGGUGAAGACGGCCUGCGGGUUGUAAAGCCCUUUUCGUGGGGAAGAAAGCCCUGAGUUGAACAGACUCAGGGGGUGACGUUACCUGCGGAAGAAGCACCGGCCAACUCCGUGCCAGCAGCCGCGGUAAUACGGAGGGUGCGAGCGUUAAUCGGAAUUACUGGGCGUAAAGCGCACGUAGGCGGUCAGUUAAGUCCGUUGUGAAAGCCCUGGGCUC
rnacentral:rRNA from 1 species